rnacentral:rRNA from 1 species
GAUGAACGCUGGCGGCGUGCCUAAUACAUGCAAGUCGAGCGAACAGAUGAGGAGCUUGCUCCUCUGACGUUAGCGGCGGACGGGUGAGUAACACGUGGAUAACCUACCUAUAAGACUGGGAUAACUUCGGGAAACCGGAGCUAAUACCGGAUAAUAUAUUGAACCGCAUGGUUCAAUAGUGAAAGACGGUUUUGCUGUCACUUAUAGAUGGAUCCGCGCCGCAUUAGCUAGUUGGUAAGGUAACGGCUUACCAAGGCAACGAUGCGUAGCCGACCUGAGAGGGUGAUCGGCCACACUGGAACUGAGACACGGUCCAGACUCCUACGGGAGGCAGCAGUAGGGAAUCUUCCGCAAUGGGCGAAAGCCUGACGGAGCAACGCCGCGUGAGGGAUGAAGGUUUUCGGAUCGUAAAACUCUGUUAUUAGGGAAGAACAAAUGUGUAAGUAACUAUGCACGUCUUGACGGUACCUAAUCAGAAAGCCACGGCUAACUACGUG